rnacentral:rRNA from 1 species
AUUGAACGCUGGCGGCAGGCUUAACACAUGCAAGUCGAGCGGGGGAAGGUAGCUUGCUACCGGACCUAGCGGCGGACGGGUGAGUAAUGCUUAGGAAUCUGCCUAUUAGUGGGGGACAACAUCUCGAAAGGGAUGCUAAUACCGCAUACGUCCUACGGGAGAAAGCAGGGGAUCUUCAGACCUUGCGCUAAUGGAUGAGCCUAAGUCGGAUUAGCUAGUUGGUGGGGUAAAGGCCUACCAAGGCGACGAUCUGUAGCGGGUCUGAGAGGAGGAUCCGCCACACUGGGACUGAGACACGGCCCAGACUCCUACGGGAGGCAGCAGUGGGGAAUAUUGGACAAUGGGGGGAACCCUGAUCCAGCCAUGCCGCGUGUGUGAAGAAGGCCUUAUGGUUGUAAAGCACUUUAAGCGAGGAGGAGGCUACUCUAGUUAAUACCUAGGGAUAGUGGACGUUACUCGCAGAAUAAGCACCGGCUAACUCUGUGCCAGCCGCCGCCGUAA